GCAGCAUACAAACAUGGAGGCCAGAUCACCUGGCGUCUUACGGCUCAACAGGGCAGAUUAAAGAAUUCUAAUCACAGAAGUGAUGUAGUCCACUGUGUGAUUUCAUAAAAGCACCUUGAAGGCUGUGUGAAGAAUGGAUUGAAUGGAGAGAGCUAGGAAGCAGGGAAAUCAGGAGGCUCUUGCAGCAACCCAGGUGUACAACACGGUGAUUCAACAUCUCUACACGUGAUGCUGUGCUCCCCACCCGUGUGGCACUGUCUGUCCCCACACAACCCUAUUACGGCAAUUAUCUGGGUAACAAAUGCAGGAGAGAGGUCCCAGACUGUCUAGAAGCCAAGAAACCAGAAAUGAUUCCAGCAAGAGCAAGUCGCUGAACCCUAGACAAUGUAGCAGAG